CUAGCCGACCUUCCGAGCAUCCACUGAGUGAAAAAUAUAAUUUUGCCAACCAUAUUUAUUUUAGAUAAACAAAUGUCUGGAAUUUCCAUUGCAAAAGUUUUAUUGGUAGGGCCCCGAAUAUAUAAACAAAGGGAAAAGUUUCAUUACCGGUUUUCUAAGUAACAUUUGACGACCAAAAGUGGCCAUGGGAUUAGAAACAGAAGCCUUUCUGGGGGUGGAAAUGUUCUGGUCCCAAAGGCCCAAAAAUAAGAUUCUACCAUCUUUUAGGACGAGCAUUGACAACAAAAUGGAGUCUUCUGACGAAAUAGCGCUUGUAUCCUAUCCUUAUUAAACCGAAGUGUAUACUGAGUCUGGAAAUUCGGAAAUCUCACCAAGUCGACUUUUUUCGAAUCGAGUUUCCAUGAGCAAAGUAGGACGUCCAAUCAUAUGCUGGAGUUGUGUGGUCAAUGCGUCGAAUCUGUUGGAGUUGAGGCUAUUCAUAUAUAUCGACUCGGCCUUUCACAAUUUCACAAUUUUUUUAUUGUCAUCAUCUACUACUUAUUACUUUUACUAAAUAUUGACCAAUGUGAUAAAAUGCCAACUUUCUGCCAUUUUUUAUUUAUUUUUUAACACAUAUAGUACUUAGGGGUAUUAACUCCGAGUGAAACAUAUAAUUAUUGGAUUGUGGACAGGGAUUUACUAAACAAUAUCAAACGAUUUGGCCAUAAACUUUAAUUUUUUAUUUUCACACGCAGAAGAUAUAUCUUUCUCCUAUUAAAUCUCCAGAAGAACUAACCUUUAGUGACCAAAAUUUUCACUCUGAACCUAUUUGACAAAAGGCCUUUGUUCACUCAUUUAUUUCUUUUCCUUCUCUGUUUCUGUUUAUUAAAACUAUUCUAAAUAUUCCGUCCCCGUUCAGCGAAAAACAAUAAAAUACUAACAUGCACUAAACAGAGCUAUAGACAGACGGUUAAUUUUUGUCCACACAUCCAUGCACUCUAAAUAAUAAUUUUGCCAAUCAUAUUUUUUUUAUAAACAAAUAUCCGAAAUUUUCAUUGGAAAAUUUUUGUAAAAUUCUCUUAACCCUUCUUAGAACGGUUAAUUAUUAAAAUUAUAUUUUUCUUAGUACAUUGUGGACUAAUCCAAUCACCGUCUUUUUACCCCAAGGGGAGGUCAGGGUAAAAUGGGACAUCAUUCAACAAUUGAUUAAGGGAUUAAUGGUGUCUUUACGAGGCUAAUUGACUGUUAUAAUUCCGGAUCAUUUUUCGUUCAAUCGUAGUCCUUGGGAUCUUUGAGAAUCGGAAAAAUUCAACAAUAGCUGUAGACGUAGGGGAGCGUAGGGUAAAAUGACACAGUUUUUCCAAGGAUCUUUUGAUAAAUGGGCCAAGGGCCGAUGACAGAUGGUAUAUCACAGAGAACGUCAGGAAAGCCGGAAUCUACUACAGUGGAACAGAAGAUGGCUGGGACGGCACAGCGCAAGAUUCUCUCGACUUUUUGGGGAGUACCUCGGGACCAAGGACGUCGCGGAGGAGGGGAAGGGGAAGGGAACGACAUGGUGGGUGGUUUGCGCGUUGGCAAUACGGGUGGUACUGUCAGAGGUGGGAGACAGGGCGUCUCGAAGGUCUGGAAUAAAGGUAACCAGAGCUCUGGUCUCGGUUUUUUCGAUGGCCUCGCCUGGGCAGUAGUUAAAAAGGACACGAAAAACCUCACACCCUUACCCUUACCCUUACCCACAAUUUCAUAUUGAUGUUCAGAUUUUCUGUGAUUUUGGCCGAACCUGAACAGUGAGAGGUCAUUACUCUUGAAGGGAUUACAGCGACUCAAAAUAUCGAAUAACAACUUAAUUUAUUGUCUGUUAAAAUCAACAAACUCAAAAUUCAAUUUCGGGAUUUUAGACAAAUUCGUUAUAAAGACGGGGGAAAAUAUGUAGAUCGCAACUUCAGUGCGAUCGAACAUCUAGAAUAAGUUGAAUGAGAGU